rnacentral:lncRNA from 1 species
CUGGCUCUUUCUAGCUCUCUUCCCUGUAAAGAUCAUCAUUUAGUAUAUCAUCUUGAUUUACAUAAAAAAUAUUUUCACUCAAACAAUCAAUGAUAUCUAAAUUAUCAACAGGUUCUGUUUGAUCAAUUUGUUUGGACAAACAGUUUUCUGGUUGUUUCUCUUCGGCAGCUUGUUCUUGAACUUGCAAAUCAUCAUCCCAUACUUCUUGAAGCUCUUCCUUUCUUCUUAAUAUGAUUGAUGUACAUGAGUGGGUUAUUUGAUCCACUUCCUACUGGACAUGUUGCAAAGUCUCCAAUGCCUCAUAAAGAUUAGCAUUGAAACUUUGAGGUAUUGCUUGGGCUUGGUAGUUUUGGUAGUAAUUAGCCCUUUCAUAGCCAUAAUUCGGAUGGUCUCCCCAACAUGGAUUGCAAGUGUCAAGGUAGGGAUCAUAUCCUGGCUGUCCAUAAAAUCCUUCACAUGCAUGUACUCGUUGGGCUUGUUCAGCUUGGCCUAUAAUAAAACUUCUCGCAGUAGAGAUUAGUUUAGAAAGUUGAUAACAAUGAACUAAUGUACGUACCUCAGCCAUGAUUCAGAUCUGUGAUGGUGACUUUUUCAGAGGCAUAUUCGGUGGUGCUAAACCCUUUUUUUUUUUGAAUUUGGUCCUGAAAGAAAAACAAAUAAGUUAAAUCAAUUCCCCGGCAACGGCGCCAAUUUUUGACUCGCGGUUGUCGAAGCCGGUGAAAAAUAACCUUCUUGGUUAUCAACAAUUUACAACUGCAGAUAGUGGUGAAGGAUCGAAUCCACAGAGAAUUGAUUACCUAUUUAUUUUUCUCAACAAGACCAAUAAAAUAA